CCUACGGGAGGCAGCAGUGAGGAAUCUUGCGCAAUGGGGGAAACCCUGACGCAGCGACGCCGCGUGAGUGAAGAAGGCCUUCGGGUCGUAAANUCUCUGUCAAGUGGGAAUAAACUCCC
rnacentral:rRNA from 1 species